ACAGGUCUGUGAUGCCCUUAGAUGUUCUGGGCCGCACGCGCGCUACACUGACAGAGCCAACGAGUUCUUUUCCUUGUUCGAAAGAAUUGGGUAAUCUUGUUAAACUCUGUCGUGCUGGGGAUAAAGCAUUGCAAUUAUUGCUUUUCAACGAGGAAUGCCUAGUAAGCGCGUGUCAUCAGCAUGCGUUGAUUACGUCCCUGACCUUUGUACACACCGCCCGUCGCUACUACCGAUUGAAUGGCUCAGUGAGGCCUUCGGACUGGCUCGAGGAGGUUGGCAACGACCACCUCGAGCCGGAAAGUUCGUCAAACUCGGUCAUUUAGAGGAAGUAAAAGUCGUAACAAGGUCUCCGUAGGUGAACCUGCGGAGGGAUCAUUA
rnacentral:rRNA from 1 species